GAUGAAGAACGCAGCGAAAUGCGAUAAGUAAUGCGAAUUGCAGAAUUCAGUGAAUCAUCGAAUCUUUGAACGCACAUUGCGCCCGCCAGUAUUCUGGCGGGCAUGCCUGUCCGAGCGUCAUUUCAACCCUCGAACCCCUCCGGGGGGUCGGCGUUGGGGAUCGGCCCUGCCUUUGGCGGUGGCCGUCUCCGAAAUACAGUGGCGGUCUCGCCGCAGCCUCUCCUGCGCAGUAGUUUGCACACUCGCAUCGGGAGCGCGGCGCGUCCACAGCCGUUAAACACCCAACUUCUGAAAUGUUGACCUCGGAUCAGGUAGGAAUACCCGCUGAACUUAAGCAUAUCAAUAAGCGGAGGA
rnacentral:misc_RNA from 1 species